rnacentral:rRNA from 1 species
UACAGAGGUGGCAAGCGUUGUUCGGAAUUACUGGGCGUAAAGGGCGCGUAGGCGGUUUCGUAAGUCCUGUGUGAAAUCCCCCGGCUCAACUGGGGAACUGCACAGGAAACUGCGAGGCUUGAGUUCGGGAGAGGGAAGCGGAAUUCCGGGUGUAGCGGUGAAAUGCGUAGAUAUCGAGAGGAACACCGGUGGCGAAGGCGGCCUUCUGGACAGCAACUGACGCUGAGACGCGAAAGCGUGGGGAGCAAACAGG